CCUACGGGUGGCAGCAGUAGGGAAUCUUUCACAAUGGGCGAAAGCCUGAUGGAGCAACGCCGCGUGCAGGAUGAAGGCCUUCGGGUUGUAAACUGCUUUUAUAAGAGAGAAAUAUGAUGGUAACUUAUGAAUAAGGAUCGGCUAACUACGUGACAGCAGCCGCGGUCAUACGUAGGAUCCGAGCAUUAUCCGGAGUGACUGGGUGUAAAGAGUUGCGUAGGUGGCAUAAUAAGUAGCUAGUGAAAUCUGGUGGCUCAACCAUUCAGACUAUUAGCUAAACUGUUAAGCUCGAGACCGUUAGGGGUAACUGGAAUUUCUAGUGUAGGAGUGAAAUCCGUAGAUAUUAGAAGGAACACCAAUAGCGUAGGCAGGUUGCUGGGACGGUUCUGACACUAAGGCACGAAAGCGUAGGGAGCAAACGGGAUUAGAUACCCCUGUAGUC
rnacentral:rRNA from 1 species